AUCCAGAUGAUGAGUCCCAAACAGAACGAAACGCGCGUCCUGGAU
rnacentral:hammerhead_ribozyme from 1 species